CGGACCUAUGAUAUAUAGAAAUGAGCAGCGACACUUUUCUUUCCCGCUCUGCAGGCAGCUAGAAAUUGCCGAAGAGCUCCGUAACCGCAUGGAUCAUGCGAUGGGUGGCCUCAGUGCCCAGCUGGGCCAGCGUGAAGCCCUGUUGCAGCAGCAGGCGCAGCAAAUCCAAGCACUGCAGGAGGGUGCUCAUCAUCGCACCGAAUUCAUGUUGCAGAGCUUUCAGUGGCCACCUCCAGAUUGGGAUGACGGGUCGGAUGACACGCCGCAAAGUGGUCCAGGUCCAGCUCCCAAGCGGCCACGACAUUAAGCAGGAUGACUAUGCUCAGUGAAUGGACAGUGGAUCCAGAAGACAACCUGAAGGACGCUGCCUUAAGUCUUUCCGAGACAAACUAUAUGCAAUAUAUGUGGCAUAUUAACAGCAUUCCUUGGCUGAAGACAAUUGUGGCAUGAUUCUCGUGAGAAAAAUGAUGCUGUGUAGUGCGACGGCCCGACUUCAUUAUUUAGAAACGUACGCAAUUAAUAAAAACACACACAGAUCAAGUCUUCGCGACAAAUUUAUUUUAGCAUGACGAGAAAUGAAUGUGCGUGUCGACUCUCGAUAUUAUCUUGUUUCACAUAGCUUUGUUGAGCUUUUCUGUCAAAUAUGGCAUUGAUGUUAUGACAUGUCCUUUGUUAUUUCUUAUCAC
rnacentral:misc_RNA from 1 species